AUCUCUAUGUUGUCAAAAGUUAUUCCAGCAUUUCAUGGAAUAAAGAAUUGGUCUAUAAGGUUUUUAACCAGUCCACAAAAUGUUUAGUAUCAAUACUUAAGGCCAUAUUACUUAGAUUUUUCAUUUCCUUCAGUUUAACAUUUUCAAAGCAUAACUAAUUUCUUUUUUAACUAAUUCUAUUUAUAUUCCAGGAUACUUCCCUUAGCUAAAGAAGGACAGCACAAGUUCACCUUCAAUUUCUCAGCAAUCUACAAACAAUAUUCUGUUGGAGUUAAUUUUACAAAGCAUUAACAUAUUACCACAUCGGAUCAAGAAAAAGUAGCUAGGAAGGACAUUACAGGGUUAACUCGAUGGUUCUCAAGGGGCAAUUUGGUCCCUAGAAAACAUUAGGCAAAAUGUGCCUAGAGACAUUUUUGGAGGUCACAAUGGAGGAAGGGGGAGGGCCACAGUGUACUGAUAUCUGUGGCUAGAACAGCUGGGCAAACUACCGCCCCCUGGCCAGAUCCCGCCAUUUGAAAUCAAUAAAACUA